UCCGUAGGGUGAACCUGCGGAGGGAUCAUUACCGAGUUUACAACUCCCAAACCCCUGUGAACAUACCUUAAUGUUGCCUCGGCGGAUCAGCCCGCGCCCCGUAAAACGGGACGGCCCGCCAGAGGACCCAAACUCUAAUGUUUCUUAUUGUAACUUCUGAGUAAAACAAACAAAUAAAUCAAAACUUUCAACAACGGAUCUCUUGGUUCUGGCAUCGAUGAAGAACGCAGCAAAAUGCGAUAAGUAAUGUGAAUUGCAGAAUUCAGUGAAUCAUCGAAUCUUUGAACGCACAUUGCGCCCGCUGGUAUUCCGGCGGGCAUGCCUGUUCGAGCGUCAUUUCAACCCUCAAGCCCCCGGGUUUGGUGUUGGGGAUCGGCUCUGCCCUUCUGGGCGGUGCCGCCCCCGAAAUACAUUGGCGGUCUCGCUGCAGCCUCCAUUGCGUAGUAGCUAACACCUCGCAACUGGAACGCGGCGCGGCCAUGCCGUAAAACCCCAACUUCUGAAUGUUGACCUCGGAUCAGGUAGGAAUACCCGCUGAACUUAAGCAUAUCAAUAAGCGGAGGA
rnacentral:rRNA from 1 species